GUGGGGAAUAUUGGACAAUGGGCGAAAGCCUGAUCCAGCCAUGCCGCGUGUGUGAAGAAGGUCUUCGGAUUGUAAAGCACUUUAAGUUGGGAGGAAGGGCAGUAAGUUAAUACCUUGCUGUUUUGACGUUACCGACAGAAUAAGCACCGGCUAACUUCGUGCCAGCAGCCGCGGUAAUACGAAGGGUGCAAGCGUUAAUCGGAAUUACUGGGAGUAAAGCGCGCGUAGGUGGUUUUGUAAGUUGGAGGUGAAAUCCCCGGGCUCAACCUGGGAACUGCCUCCAAAACUGCAUGACUAGAGUACGGUAGAGGGUAGUGGAAUUUCCUGUGUAGCGGUGAAAUGCGUAGAUAUAGGAAGGAACACCAGUGGCGAAGGCGACUACCUGGACUGAUACUGACACUGAGGUGCGAAAGCGUGGGGAGCAAACAGGAUUAGAAACCCCAGUAGUCC
rnacentral:rRNA from 1 species